rnacentral:rRNA from 1 species
UACGUAGGGUGCAAGCGUUAAUCGGAAUUACUGGGCGUAAAGCGCGCGCAGGCGGUUCUGCAAGUCAGUGGUGAAAGCCCGGAGCUCAACUCCGGAACUGCCAUUGAAACUGUUGAACUUGAGGACGAGAGAGGUGAGUGGAAUUCCCAGUGUAGAGGUGAAAUUCGUAGAUAUUGGGAAGAACACCGGUGGCGAAUGCGGCUCACUGGCUCGUAUCUGACGCUCAGGCGCGAUAGCGUGGGGAUCAAACAGG